CGUGUUAUCCAAACAAACCGUGGCUGUUGACCCCAUUGUCUAAUCCUGUUGGUAGAGCAGAAAAACGUUACCAAGAGACACACAUUGCAUCGAGGGGAGUAAUUGAGCGUGCCUUCGGUGUACUUAAAAGCCGGUUUCGAUGUUUAGACACUUCCGGCGGUGCUCUUUUGUACUCACCGUCGAAGGUUUGCGGCAUGGUAAAUGCAUGUUGUAUUUUACACAACAUAUGUGUCGCAAACCGUUUGCCGGUGACUCUUCGUCGCAGUGCUUUCCGACGCGGGAACCGGUCUUCUGCUCUACCGGUGGGUAUGGACGAAGGAGAGGAUUCCCGGCGGACAUUGAUCCAAAAUUAUUUUGCAGUUGCCUAGUUUUACAUCCUGUUGAUGUAUAUCCCCAGGCCAUGUUUGUACAGUUCGUUACCCCGUUUUAUCCUGUUGUUGGGUUCCCGCAAAUAUUUGAUCCUUUUAUCCAACUCUACCAUGGGUGAACCUACUGGUGAUGUGGACCUGACCCUCCGCCAUGUAGCAGACAACCCCCCUCAGGUCCUGCGAUGUAUCUUCCCAAGUGGCGUGGAUGUGAGGAGACACGACAUUUCACCUGAUGUUCCAUGGGUGACCCUACUGGUGAUGUGGACCUGACCCUCCGCCAUGUAGCAGACAACCCCCCUCAGGUCCUGCGAUGUAUCUUCCCAAGUGGCGUGGAUGUGAGGAGACACGACAUUUCACCUGAUGUUCCAUGGGUGACCCUACUGGUGAAGUGGACCUGACCCUCCGCAAUGUAGCAGACAACCCCCC